GUUAAGCUGUUGAAAAGCCAGGCCUGAGUGUUCUGGGGGAAAUUGCACAACUCACCUCUGGAGGAGGAACCUCGAUGUGAAGGACAGAGGAACAAGCUGCUGUUGAUAGGAGAGACAACAACCUGUACCAUUGCUGUGUGUGAAAUGCUCUGAUGCCUCAACUGGAAGAGCGGAAAGAAGAAGGGGGGGGGAGUUUUUAGUCUUUCUUGGGGUGCUGUUUC